rnacentral:rRNA from 1 species
AUACGUAGGUGGCAAGCGUUGUCCGGAUUUACUGGGCGUAAAGAGCUCGUAGGUGGUUUGUCGCGUCGUCUGUGAAAUUCCGGGGCUUAACUCCGGGCGUGCAGGCGAUACGGGCAUAACUUGAGUACUGUAGGGGAGACUGGAAUUCCUGGUGUAGCGGUGAAAUGCGCAGAUAUCAGGAGGAACACCGGUGGCGAAGGCGGGUCUCUGGGCAGUAACUGACGCUGAGGAGCGAAAGCAUGGGUAGCGAACAGGAUUAGAUACCCUGGUAGUCCAUGCCGUAAACGGUGGGCGCUAGGUGUAGGGGUCUUCCACGACUUCUGUGCCGUAGCUAACGCAUUAAGCGCCCCGCCUGGGGAGUACGGCCGCAAGGCUAAAACUCAAAUGAAUUGACGGGG